CCCGCCGAGGGGCGCUGCGACCGUUUAUUCGUGAAUGCGGAUCCAUCCGCGACUGCCUGCAUAUCCCUGUGCAGACUCCUCACGAAACCGGCCAGGCUCGGCGCGGCACGUUCCACAACGGCGCUCAGUACGC
rnacentral:ncRNA from 2 species